AUUCAGGAAGCAGUUAGAAAUAA
rnacentral:piRNA from 1 species